rnacentral:tRNA from 1 species
UCCCUGGUGGCCUAGUGGUUAAGGAUCCAGCAUUGUCACUGCUGAGGUUCAGGGUUCCCUUCUGUGGUACUAGUUCAAUCCCUGGCCUGGGAA